rnacentral:rRNA from 1 species
UACGUAGGGCGCAAGCGUUAUCCGGAAUUAUUGGGCGUAAAGAGCUCGUAGGCGGUUUGUCGCGUCUGCCGUGAAAGUCCGGGGCUUAACCCCGGAUCUGCGGUGGGUACGGGCAGACUAGAGUGGAGUAGGGGAGACUGGAAUUCCUGGUGUAGCGGUGAAAUGCGCAGAUAUCAGGAGGAACACCGAUGGCGAAGGCAGGUCUCUGGGCUGUAACUGACGCUGAGGAGCGAAAGCAUGGGGAGCGAACAGG